rnacentral:rRNA from 1 species
GAUGAACGCUAGCUACAGGCUUAACACAUGCAAGUCGAGGGGAAACGACAUCGAAAGCUUGCUUUUGAUGGGCGUCGACCGGCGCACGGGUGAGUAACGCGUAUCCAACCUGCCCAUCACUUGGGAAUAACCUUGCGAAAGUAAGACUAAUACCCAAUGAUAACCCACGAAGGCAUCGGAAUGGGAUUAAAGAUUUAUCGGUGAUGGAUGGGGAUGCGUCUGAUUAGCUUGUUGGCGGGGUAACGGCCCACCAAGGCAACGAUCAGUAGGGGUUCUGAGAGGAAGGUCCCCCACAUUGGAACUGAGACACGGUCCAAACUCCUACGGGAGGCAGCAGUGAGGAAUAUUGGUCAAGGGGCGAGAGCCUGAACCAGCCAAGUAGCGUGCAGGAAGACGGCCCUAUGGGUUGUAAACUGCUUUUAUAAGGGAAUAAAGUGGGUCACGUGUGACUUUUUGCAUGUACCUUAUGAAUAAGGACCGGCUAAUUCCGUG